GCCUGAAGUUAGCCCUUGAGACUAAAGCAUGAAGUUAUUUCAUGGGGUUUAUUGUUACACUAGAGGUACUAGGUUAAGAUGAGUUGAGGUUUAUUGUUACACUAGAGGUACUAGGUUAAGAUGAGUUGAGGUUAAUUGUUUCACUACUGGUACUAGGUUAAGAUGAGUUGAGGUUAAUUGUUUCACUACUGGUACUAGGUUAAGAUGAGUUAAGGUUAAUUGUUUCACUACUGGUACUAGAUUAAGAUGAGUCGAGGUUAAUUGUUUCACUACUGGUACUAGGUUAAGAUGAGUUUGGGUAUAUUGUUAAACUACUGAUACUAGGCUAAGAUGAGUUGAGGUUAAGUGUUACAUGCACCCUUAUACCCAGAGACUUAAACUUGAAGUUAUGCCCACUCACAUGUUGUGUUAUCCACCGUGUUUGGGUCUUUCGUUUUUUUAAAUUUUCCUCCCUUUUGCUUUUAGUUUGAUGUUGUUUUGGUUUUCCUGCACUGUGGGAAACUCCUAAAAGUCUAAAAGGUUUUAUUGAAACUUAAGUGAGUCUUUAAGGAAUGUACAAAUAUCUCAAUAAUAAGAUUUGCUUGUUGAUAAGAAUAAGGAUUGUAUAAAUAUCGUAAGUCUUAAAAUAUCAGCUAAUUUAUUACGUUGGUUCUUUAGUUUCUCAAUAUGUUAUCUUUAUAAAUAUUUGGAACUAUGGUCUGGUUCAUAAUCAUCAGCCAUAGUCACUAUUUCAUUUAUUUUAUGUAUGAAGUUGAAAGAAAUCCAAAACUCUCAUUGAAAAACGCAAUUACCCAUUGAUUCGAAUUUAGCUAUGUAUACAUAGCCAAAUAUAGAUUAUUUGUUUCACUAUAUUAUGUGAAAAACAAUUCUUCAACCUGUUAGGCCUAUACUUUUCAAGGAAUAGUUUAACAUGCACAUUGUUAUGGUUACAAAUGUAGUAUGAAAUGUAUUUGCAUUCAUUGUUCUUAAUGUGUAAAUUGUAAGUAAAUAUGUAAUAUUAACUGACAUGAGAUAAACAUGCCAUCUACCUAAUCAUUUAUUAUUUUUUAAUUGAUUGAAUAUUAUUGUAUUAGAACAAAGAUAAGUUGAAUAAAUGUAGAAAAUAGAGGUGGUUGGAUUCGAAAGCCGAAGAGAGAAGCAGGAUUUAUUUUUAACAGAAACCACAGAAAGCAUUAAAUCAAAUGUCAUAUGAUCAGAAAACGGUUUUCUUGUCGGCACAAAGCCAACGUACAAAACACGGGACAAGAAAACAUAUUUGUAGUGACAGCUGAUACCUAGGUAGGUAUAGGUCCCAUAUAGUUUUAACAUAUUUACAUUAACAGCCACUUUAACAUAUUUACAUUUGUGGUUUCUACAACAUAUUUACCCAUAGUUUUUAUAACAUUUCCACAUUUCCAUACAGCAAUUUCAACAUAUUUAUAUUUACAGUUAUACAAUUCAUUAUUGUUAUUAUUAUAUCAUUUAGUUAUUAUAACAUAUCAAUACACAUUUAUUAAUACAAUAUUUACAUUAAGUUAGUUACAUAUAUUUACAAUAACAUUUAGUUUUAGUUACAUUUAUAUUUACCUUUAGUAAUACAACAUUUACAUUCACAGUAAGUUUAAUAUUUGUACAUGUAGUUACGAUAAUAUAUUCAAAUGUACAUUUAGUAAUACAAUGUUUACAUUCACAGUUAGCUUAAAGCAUUCACCUCAACAUUUAGGUAUUAUAACAUACCUAAACUCACAUAUAGUUCUAACACAAUAUUUCCCAUUGAAGUUCAAGUUAAGUCAAUGAUCACACUCACACACACAUGCACACGCACGCGCACACACACACACACACACAGUACUCAAACAGGCAGUAGCAACCGUCGAUGGAUAUACAAUUCUUGAGUAUCAAGCUCCCCUUCCUCAACCAUGUAGGUCACUAAGGUAAACACGGCAGACUUCAAACUAUAAAGUAUCAUCACAUUUAAAAACAAGACUUUAAGGUUCCUGUGCACAGAGGGGAUGGAGUCAGAUGUAUGCUUUGGGCAAUGCACGGUUUUAAUAUGGAUAAAGUACAUUAUUCAACAGAUAGUUCAGACCAUAUAAUUUGAUUGAACAAGAGGCAUUCCAUGAGUGCUAAUAUAGAGUACAACAGCACUGUGACUUUUAACUGUAUCACUCCGCUUUAGAGGUGUUCUAAUAAUACGUUUUUAUCUAGCUUAGAUUAAAACAAACUUUGCACAAUAAAUGGAAACAUACAGAUACAUUUAUAUGAUACCGAGUAGUCUAGCUGAUCUGCAGCAAUGUGUAGGUCUAUACCAGGGGUCUUCAACUAAAAUUGAACAAGGUCCAGUUACUAAAAAUUUCUUCCAAGAAAGGUCCGAACCUCUAACCUACCACCCUAAAACCCUACAACCCUAACUGAACCUACUUUUGUCAAAUGCAAUCAACACAGCAUAUUUCCUCAUAAUUUCAGAUUUAUUUAUUUUCAAUUUCCAAAUAGCUUACUUUUAACGAUGAAAACAUAUUAACAUUUCAAAUAAACAUAAAAAGAGCAUAAGGCCUACAUAUCAAAUAAACACAAAAAGAGCAUUAGGCCUUAAUUUCAAGUAAGCAAAACAGGUACCCCAUCUGUAGUGACUGAGACAACCUUUUUUAGAUCAAUCCCCCUCUUUGACAGCAUCUCCUUAAUAGCCUCAUAAAUGUCUUCUCGUCUUGUGUGUUGCCCGGACCUGGACCGCGGUUCGCCGUUUGGAGAUGUCUGGUCGGUACAAAGUAGAGAGCUAGUGUGUUUAUGUGUUGCUUGGCAACAGUUCAGUCCCAGUCGAGUUUCGGGUUGGGGUCGUUGGGCAAGGAAUCCUGACUGGGGGGGGGGGGGGGGGAUUACUGUCGCGGCCCACAUAAAUGGACCGGCCCACCGGGAAACCUCCCGAUCUUCCCGAUGGCCACUCCGCCUCUGGACAGAGUCCAAGUAGCGUCACAGCACAUUUUCGGAACAUCAGGUGAAAAUUAGUUGUAGCUCAACAUGGAGCAAAGAUAUUUGCGUCCGAUAUCCAAUAGACAUUCCGUCUCUUCUUUGCUCCAUGUCGAGCCAUGUCUCAUUUUCACCCGACUGUCCGACAAAAGAUCGUAAAAAGCAUGCUGGAAAACACACAUAAAAAUGCAGAUGCAUAUAGGCCUAUACACAUUCAGCAUUAGGACGAGGGAGAAGGAGUUCGACCGGUCUGCAGAUCAAUGUAUAUCACGCUGGAUAUCCCUGAUGUUUAUUUUCACCGGUUCUCCCCACCCCAUUUUUCCUAUUUGACGCUUUAACCUGCCGCAGACCUUUGUGUCCAAUGUUUGAACGAUCUUCACACACAUGUGGGUUUGUUGUCAAAUUCUGGCAUUGUUGUAGGAAUUGCAAAUGUGAAAAGGAACCGCACCAAACCAAAAAAUAAACAUUUGUGUCUUGGUCCGGACCAAAGAGAGCGAACUUGAGGACAUUCCUGGUGUGAAUACGCCCUAAAACCCGAAGCAGAACCAAAACAGGUUCACGACUGCGUCGAGGCGUCUUCGUGGGCCUUGUGUUGCGUGGACGUGGAACCAUAAUCAGCCCUUAUGAUAAAGGCAUGAAGUAUCACAUUAAGAAACAAGGCUAAUGAUAAAACUGAGAACUGUGAUAUUACAAGUAUAUAAUUAUACGUUAUCAUACUUUUUACAAGUAUAAAGUAUGAUAACAAUAAGUAACAAGGGUGAUAAUACAAGUAUAAAGUAUUAUUAUUAGUUAGAGAAGUAUAAAUACAGCUACAAAGUAUUUUAAAAAUAAGUAAGAAAAGUAAGAAAAAUAGUGUUGGAUAAAUAAAAGCAUAAAAAGUAUUCAAGCCUAAAUAAAUGUACAAUGGAUCAUAUAUAUACACUGCGGUAGAGUGGCAUGUCCUUAAAAAUAGUGUGUGUGUGUGUGUGUGUGUGUGUGUGUGUGUGUGUGUGUGUGUGUGUGUGUGUGUGUGUGUGCGUGCGUGCGUGCGUGUGUGUGUGUGUGUGUGUGUGUGUGUGUUUCAGUAUGAGAUGGCGAGUGGCGAGGGGAAGUGUGUUUUGAGUACGGUGACGUAGAGUUCAAAAGCUUGGGAGACUCUUGGUUUGUGUGAUAGCUUUGUUGUCUUGCCUAGUGGUUUGUCUGAUAGCUUAUCCUUUAGCGGUUUGUUUGAUAGCUUGUCCUUAAGCCUAGAGGUUUGUGUGAUAGCUUGGCCCUCAAACUAGCGGUUCGGGGUUGCAGGGACAGUUGACGUGGAAUCAUAACUAAGCCUUGAGUCUCCUCUAGGCCUUCUUCCUUCCUUCAUGGUUGUACUGGACCUGAUUGGUUAGCAGCUCAGGCCUAGUGACGUACUGUGAAGUGCUGUCUCACCACUCUCUGUAGAGCAGGGGUCAUCAUAGUGUGAGAUGGUGAGCCCCCCCUAAGAGAACAAAUAAACAACACAGAAGUACACAAUGCGUAAAUGGUCCUUAUUUUUACUUUAAACUGUUGAUUCUUACCUACAGAAUCUAAGGUGCAUUAUUAUAGCACUUCUUGGUGUGUGUUGGAUAUGAUGUAAACCCUACACACUCCCCCCCCCCGUAUGCGUGGUGCCGUGGUACCAUCUGCUCAUUUUGACGGCUUCCUGUAAUACUGCAGGUUUUUAGACUAUUGACUAGUGUUGUUCCUUAGAGCGAGGGGUGUUCCUGGCAACCAGAAGAAGCUUCACCACAAUUCUGCUUGUUUUCUAAUGAGGUGUUGAAAUGCAUUGCACAUACAAUACGUGUUGAUCUGUAGAUACUGCACGCAAAACAUUUAGAUAGAUAUCAUUUAUCUAUCUCAAUUACAUAAGAUCUCUAUCUUAUACAAGCUGCUAUAAGAUUUUACAUUGCACAAAAAUAACUUUUCUUCCCUAUUUACUCGCAUUUUUAACUUGUUAAGUAUGGAAGCUAUCUGAGGAAAUGUGUGGUGUUAUGUCUGUCUUGAAGAUGCUGUGGCACUGUAAUUUCCUGUAAAGGAUUAUUAAAGGAUCUAUCUAUCUGUCAAAUCACUGUUUUAAGAUAUUUGAUGUUCGUAAUGAAUAUUUUAUGGACAGGAUUGGUUAAGAGAAUGUAUUGAAAGAUAGAGUGAGAAACUUCAUUUUUUGUGUUUGGUUGUUUCCCUCCCCUCGGGAUCAUAAAUCAUGUGUCUGUCAGAGCUGUCCAGUAACGCAAUAUAUUAAGGUCCUUGUACUAAGCCUUUGUUAUUAGGUAAUAUAACACUUAUUAUAUGCUUAUUAACAUUAAUUGGUGUUAAUAUGUCCAUCUAUAAGUGUUAUUAAUAACAUAAUAAACAUGUUUAUUGUGAGAUGAUGAGACUUUUAUAAGCACUUAUAAGAAACGUAACUAUUUAUUGAUUGCAUAAUAACAUUAAUAAUAGUCUUAAUAGUCUUAAUAAACGCAUUACAAAAUCA